GACGAACGCUGGCGGCGUGCUUAACACAUGCAAGUCGAACGGUAAGGCCCUUCGGGGUACAUGGGUGGCGAACGGGUGAGUAACACGUGGGUGAUCUGCCCUGCACUUCGGGAUAAGCCUGGGAAACUGGGUCUAAUACCGGAUAGGACCCUGGGAUGCAUGUCCUGGGGUGGAAAGCUUUUGCGGUGUGGGAUGGGCCCGCGGCCUAUCAGCUUGUUGGUGGGGUGAUGGCCUACCAAGGCGACGACGGGUAGCCGGCCUGAGAGGGUGACCGGCCACACUGGGACUGAGAUACGGCCCAGACUCCUACGGGAGGCAGCAGUGGGGAAUAUUGCACAAUGGGCGCAAGCCUGAUGCAGCGACGCCGCGUGAGGGAUGACGGCCUUCGGGUUGUAAACCUCUUUCAGCACCGACGAAGCGCAAGUGACGGUAGGUGCAGAAGAAGGACCGGCCAACUACGUGCCAGCCGCCGCGGUAA
rnacentral:rRNA from 1 species